rnacentral:rRNA from 1 species
GAGUUUGAUCAUGGCUCAGGACGAACGCUGGCGGCGUGCUUAACGCAUGCAAGUCGAGCGAUGAAGCUUCCUUCGGGAAGUGGAUUAGCGGCGGACGGGUGAGUAACACGUGGGCAACCUGCCUCAAAGAGGGGAAUAGCCCUCCGAAAGGAGGAUUAAUACCGCAUAAAGUUAGAGUUUCGCAUGAAACUUUAACCAAAGGAGUAAUCUGCUUUGAGAUGGGCCCGCGUCCCAUUAGCUAGUUGGUAAGGUAAUGGCUUACCAAGGCAACGAUGGGUAGCCGACCUGAGAGGGUGAUCGGCCACAUUGGAACUGAGACACGGUCCAGACUCCUACGGGAGGCAGCAGUGGGGAAUAUUGCGCAAUGGGGGAAACCCUGACGCAGCAACGCCGCGUGGGUGAUGAAGGUUUUCGGAUCGUAAAACCCUGUUUUCUGGGACGAUAAUGACGGUACCAGAUGAGGAAGCCACGGCUAACUACGUGCCAGCAGCCGCGGUAAUAC